AGUGGGGGUUUACCCUCAGCAGGGUUCUGACUGGUGUUUCCUUGUGUACUGCAGGCUGUGCAGUGUCUCUGGAGUUGGUGGAGCAUUUAUCUUUGCUGGUUCCUGGGCCAGUUUUACUGAUUAUUUCCUGCCUGUGGGCCUCUGCACCUGGAAAGAAUUAUGAACUUGGGCUUUAUACUCAUCACUGGCCCCUGCAUGGGGCUCCAAUUCCUGUGAACACUCCUGUUGUCUCUGCAGCUAGAGGAAGGCUUCAGUGUCGUUGCUACCAUUCCCUCAUCCUUAGGACAGAGUUCUGGCUCCUGUUUGGAGGCCAGGUCAUCUCUAAGCAAACUGACAGUUGGGGAUAGCCCCUUAAUUCUGAUUUGCUGCAUCCACUGGGGGCUUCUGCUCUAGACUCCCUUUCCCACAGGGGCCUCAGAUCCCAACCCCUAAUUGAUUCAACAUGCCCCUCUUCCUACAGUUCAAGGAGAUCUUUUAGGUGUGGCUCUUGCCCAGCCCUCUAGCUCCAAGCUGCUUCUUAAUUUCUACCAGGUAGGGAUUUCACUCUCUUGAUUUUGAGCUGAGAUAUGUAUUGAAUAUAGUAUUGCUUUAUUUUAUUCACAAUUUCCCAUCUGAUGAUAAUGAGAAGAAAUUCUUUCUGGGGCAACUCAGGCUACUAUAUAUGUGGGUUUAAUUUGCCCCCACAAAAAUACUACACACUGGGGAGUUUAAACAACAUACAUUUAUUUUCUCACUGUUGCAAAGGCUGGAAAUCUAAGAUAAGAUGUUGGCAGGGUUAAUUGCUUCUGAGGCCUCUCUCCUUGGCUUGUAGACAGCUGUCUUCUCCCUGUGUUUCUUUUACUCUCUUCCUUCUGUCUGUGUACAGUUUUAAUCUCCUCUCUUUACAGGGUCAUCAAUCAUGUUGGCUUGGGGCCUUCUCUAAUGACCUAUUUUAACUUAUUCACCUCUUCAAAAUGCCUUAUCUUUAAAUAUAGUCACAUUCUGAAUUAUUGGGGGUUAGGACUUUAACGCAUAGAUUUUUAGAAAACACAGUUCAUCCCAUGGGAAUAGCAAAUCCUUUCUCAUACAUAAAAAAAUUUGGCUAGGAUGGUAUCUAUAAUAAUAAUAUUAAACACUAGGAAUUUAAUAAUUCAGUGACUCUGAUGGCCUACCAAGUUCAAGUCACUCAUAGAUAGAAUAUUCUGUGGCAACCAGGGUUCAUCAAUUUACCUUCAUUUUUGAGAAGACGGAUACAGACAAAUGGUAGGCUGUGACUUAUCAAGUUACUUCCUCAGUGCUUCCACAUCCAGUCUCUUUCAUAAGGCAUUUAUCAAUGUCUGCUGUUUGCCAAGAACUCUCCUAGGCUCUGGGAACAAAGUGAUGAACACUGUGGAUCAGGUCUCAAUAUUCAUGAAACUUAUGAUGGAGGGAGAGAAGAUACACACAUAUAUAUGUUACAAGGAUUUAUACUCUAGAAUUAGAAAUCAGAUCAAAUGUCUGCUUUUCCCUGUCUUGUUAGUCAUUCAUACUGGAAACCUGGGCACAGUGUUAGAAUCUGCUUUAAGAGGCCUUCUAGACAACUACUCACUAUCUCCCAUGUUGGUUUGUCUUCCUAAAUCCUAUAAAAUCCAUGUUCUUCUGUCAAUCCCCACUUCCAAUGCCGUCAUUACUAUACUGUAUGAUCAUUUUUCUCUUUGUUCCUUAGCAUGACUAAAACUGCAAUUUGUUAAUCUAGAUAGUCUUUGAAUAAUGUCCUAGCUCUGCUUUCUUGUCUUGGGGAAAUUAAUUUUAACUUCUCUGAGCCACAGUUUCCUCAUAUUUAAAAGAAGGACCAAAUGUUUCUUACCUUCUAGGAUUAUUGUAAGACUUGAAAGAAUACAGUGUACAUAAAACUUUGAUAAUGGUGUCUAUUGCAUAAUACAUAUUUAAAAGAAUGGGAGCUAUUAUUGUAUUAUUAUUUUUACCUGUGUCACUGUAAUAAUGUUGCAGAGUUCUUGUACAGAGAGACAGAACACUGAGGCUUAUUUUCAGGAAGUGGGAAUGCCGGCAUUGUCUUCAGCAGAUUCAUAUCCAAAGGCUGAGCCCCAAAAACAGUGGGGUGCUGUCUUAUAUACCCUCCGUUAUUUUUUGUUUUACACUUUGGUCCCUUUGUCCCCCUUAUCAGAUAACAUACAUUCUGUAAAUUCUGGUUCGAUGGUCUAUGUUACAGAGCUGCACAUGGAUAUUGAUCGUGUCUUGCUGCUGCAGAGUUACACAUGUGUAUGCAGAUGCUGGUUAUGCCACAUGGCUUUCCCUUUGUUCUGGGAGGGCCCUUACCACAAUUACUUCCUGGUUGUACUGCUAAUUUACUUUCCACAAAGCUGCUGGUGUGAUCUUCUUAAAUCUCAAAUCUGAUUAUAUUAAGUUCCUGUAAGGUCUGUUGUUGACAUUCCUCAAAAGUCAAGAGAAAGGUACAUUGCAUUUCAGUUUCUACUACUCUACUCCAACUUCUGUCAAGCUUUGUUUGGACAAAUUAUCUCAUUGUUUCAUGACAUUGGAAGAUUUUAUGACUUUCCUUUAUGUUUAUAAUUUCACUGGGCUGCUCUUUAUUUUUUUGUUGUUUUUGUUUUUUGUCUUUUUACCAUUUCUUGGGCCACUCUUGCAGCAUAUGGAGGUUCCCAGGCUAGGGGUCAAAUAGAAGGUAUAGCCGCCAGCCUAUGCCAGAGCCACAGCAAUGCAGGAUCCAAGCCACGUCUGCAACCUACACCACAGCUCACAGCAACAUCGGAUCCUUAACCCACUGAGCAAGGCCAGGGAUUGAACCCGCAACCUUAUGGUUCCUAGUCUAGGAACCUUAUGGUUCCUAGAUUCGUUAACCACUGAGCCACGACGGGAACUCCCUGCUCUUUCUUUUAGAAGGCUUUCCCUCUACUUGCUUAUGUUGGUGACUUUAUUUCUGUCACAACUCAAGCACUGUCUUCCCCAAGUGCUUUUCCUGGUGCCUUUGAACCAAGACCCCUCUCUGUGUCUCUGUGUCUUUCCCUGCACCUCUCUAUUGUCUUGUUUUCAAAUGCUCAUGUCAGUUUAUCUGUUGCCUAUCUUUAUUUCUUCAAUUCUAACACUGUUUUUUAAAGGCCAGAUACUUACUAAUAUUACAAAUGUUUACAAAUGAUAUUACAAAUAUUUAAAAAUAUUAUACUUACAAAUAUUUGAAGUGAUUUAAAUGUGGCCUAAGGUGACCUAAUUGAUGUUGACUUAAAGGCAUCUUUUUUCUGAUUUGACCCCUGCUUGGGAACUUCCAUAUUCUGUGGGAGAGACUGU
rnacentral:lncRNA from 1 species